rnacentral:rRNA from 1 species
UACGAAGGGUGCAAGCGUUAUUCGGAAUCACUGGGCUUAAAGCGCGUGUAGGCGGGACGGCACGUCGGUCGCUGAAAUCCCCCGGCUUAACCGGGGAACUGGCGUCGAUACGACCGCCCUGGAGGGGCGUAGGGGGACCUGGAACUUCCGGUGGAGCGGUGAAAUGCGUUGAGAUCGGAAGGAACGCCCGUGGCGAAAGCGAGGUCCUGGACGCCUACUGACGCUGAGACGCGAAAGCCAGGGGAGCGAACGGG